GCAGCCAUGCCGCGUGUGUGAGAAGGCCUUCGGAUUGUAAAGCACUUUCAGCGGGGAGGAAGGGAAUUAAGUUAAUACCUUUGUGCAUUGACGUUACCCGCAGAAAAAGCACCGGCUAACUCCGUGCCAGCAGCCGCGGUAAUAA
rnacentral:rRNA from 1 species